GUGCCCCACGCAGCAGUGCAUAUACUGAAACUGGAGCCAUACCGGAAGUACUGGCAUGGCCCCUGCACAAGGGUGACACACAAACUCAGGACGCAGCCCAUAUUUUU